CAUGGCUCAGGACGAACGCUGGCGGCGUGCUUAACACAUGCAAGUCGAACGUGAUUUUUAUGGAAGAACCUUCGGGGACGGAAGUAAAAUGAAAGUGGCGAACGGGUGAGUAACACGUGAGCAACCUACCUUACACAGGGGGAUAGCCGUUGGAAACGACGAUUAAUACCGCAUGAGACCACAAUACUGCAUGGUAUAGGGGUCAAAGAUUUAUCGGUGUAAGAUGGGCUCGCGUCUGAUUAGCUAGUUGGAAGGGUAAAGGCCUACCAAGGCGACGAUCAGUAGCCGGUCUGAGAGGAUGAACGGCCACACUGGAACUGAGACACGGUCCAGACUCCUACGG
rnacentral:rRNA from 1 species